rnacentral:rRNA from 1 species
CUCCUGGAAACGGGUGGUAAUGCCGGAUGCUCCGCCCCCUCGCAUGGGGGGUCGGGAAGGCUUUUGCGGAAUGGGAUGGGGUCGCGUCCUAUCAGCUUGUUGGCGGGGCGACGGCCCACCAAGGCUUCGACGGGUAGCCGGCCUGAGAGGGCGACCGGCCACAUUGGAACUGAGAUACGGCCCAGACUCCUACGGGAGGCAGCAGUGGGGAAUAUUGCACAAUGGGGGGAACCCUGAUGCAGCGACGCCGCGUGCGGGAUGGAGGCCUUCGGGUCGUGAACCGCUUUUGAUUGGGAGCAAGCGUGAGUGAGUGUACCUUUCGAAUAAGCACCGGCUAACUACGUGCCAGCAGCCGCGGUAAUACGUAGGGUGCAAGCGUUGUCCGGAAUCAUUGGGCGUAAAGGGCUCGUAGGCGGUUCGUCGCGUCCGGUGUGAAAGCCCAUCGCUUAACGGUGGGUCUGCGCCGGGUACGGGCGGGCUUGAGUGCGGCAGGGGAAGCUGGAAUUCCCGGUGUAACGGUGGAAUGUGUAGAUAUCGGGAAGAACACC